AGAACGAACGCUGGCGGCGCGUUUAAGCAUGCAAGUCGAGCGGCAAGGGCCUUCGGGCCCCUAGAGCGGCGGACGGGUGAGUAACACGUGGACAAGUCCUGUCCCCCGGCCCGGGAUAGGCCCAGGGAAACCUGGAUUAAUACCGGAUGAGACGGGACCCGCGAAGGCGGGACCCGGGAAAGGCGCUGCGGCGCCGCCGGGGGAUGAGUCUGCGUCCCAUUAGCUAGACGGCGGGGUAACGGCCCACCGUGGCGACGAUGGGUAGCCGGCCUGAGAGGGUGGACGGCCACAUUGGAACUGAGACACGGUCCAGACUCCUACGGGAGGCAGCAGCUAAGAAUCUUCCGCAAUGGGCGAAAGCCUGACGGAGCCGACGCCGCGUGAACGAAGAAGGCCGUGAGGUUGUAAAGUUCUUUUCGGGAGGGGAACAACCGUGGCAGGGAAUGGCCGCGGGAUGACGUGAAUCCCGGAAUAAGCCCCGGCUAACUACGUGCCAGCAGCCGC
rnacentral:rRNA from 1 species